UACGUAGGGGGCGAGCGUUGUCCGGAUUUACUGGGCGUAAAGCGCGUGUAGGCGGCCGGAUAAGUCGGGUGUGAAAGCCCGGGGCUCAACCCCGGGAUGCCGCCCGAGACUGCUCGGCUUGAGGACGGAAGAGGGGCGUGGAAUUCCUGGUGUAGCGGUGAAAUGCGUAGAGAUCAGGAGGAACACCCGUGGCGAAGGCGGCGCCCUGGUCCGUUACUGACGCUGAGACGCGAAAGCGCGGGGAGCGAACGGG
rnacentral:rRNA from 1 species